GCAGGAGAUGGCACAGGAGGAGGCAAAGUCCAAAACACAGUACAGAUUAAGGGGAAAUCCAAGGGCAGGGUCAUAUGAGAAGCAGAAGUCAGGGCUGGCAACGGAUUAACAAAGUCGGAGUCAAAGAUCAAAUCAAAAUCAAAGAUCCGGCAGGAAACACCAAACAGGCAAAAUGACCAGAUACUAGGUUUCAGGCAGGGCUGGCUUUUACAGCCUGCUAAUUAGGUGCAGCUGACCUUAAUUGGAAAAGGACUGCAGGUGGAUCAGUGCUGCCUAAUCCAGGCAAGGAGGUCAGGAAGCAGAAAAAUGCAAACAGAAACUGAAGCCCC